rnacentral:rRNA from 1 species
AGUGAACGCUGGCGGUAGGCCUAACACAUGCAAGUCGAACGGCAGCACAGUAAGAGCUUGCUCUUACGGGUGGCGAGUGGCGGACGGGUGAGGAAUACAUCGGAAUCUACUUUUUCGUGGGGGAUAACGUAGGGAAACUUACGCUAAUACCGCAUACGACCUACGGGUGAAAGCAGGGGAUCUUCGGACCUUGCGCGAUUGAAUGAGCCGAUGUCGGAUUAGCUAGUUGGCGGGGUAAAGGCCCACCAAGGCGACAAUCCGCAGCUGGUCUGAGAGGAUGGUAGGCCACACUGGAACUGAGACACGGUCCAGACUCCUACGGGAGGCAGCAGUGGGGAAUAUUGGACAAUAGGCGCAAGCCUGAUCCAGCCAUCCCGCGUGGGUGAAGAAGGCGUUCGGGUUGUAAAGCCCUUUUGUUGGGAAAGAAAAGCAGCCGGUUAAUACCCAGCGGUUCUGACGGUACCCAAAGAAUAAGCACCGGCUAACUUCGUG